rnacentral:snRNA from 1 species
AGUAUCAUAGCCUAUGAGGUUCAACUGAGGCGUGAUUAUUGCUAAUUGAAAACUUUACCCAAU